AGCUCAGUAGCUCAGCUGGUAGAGCAUGCGCGUAUUAAGCGUAGGCGGUGUCCAUGCGUGGGUUCGAAUCCCACCGAAGCUA
rnacentral:tRNA from 1 species